AGCUUUUAUACAUACAUUUUUUAAUUAUAAUAUCAAUAAAUAAUGAAAAUGCACAUUUCCUUUGUUGGUAUUUUUAAAAAUUUAAAAAACGUUUUAUCUAACAGCAAACCAUCCUUUUUUAUUACUCACUAUAUCCCUUUAGGGGUCAUGGGGUCACCGUAGCCUGUCCCAGUUACCGUUUGGCGAAUGCUCAUAAAACUUCAAGUUUUACAAACAUAUCAGCCAGCAAGGCCAAGUGGACCCCAUAUGGUUUAAAAUUGGGCUGAAAAUGUGCGCCCCAAAUGGGUUUGUCCACAGUUUCCAUGGUGGCCCCACCUGUAUUUGCCCACAUUGGGUUAAGUGGGAACUUAGUAGGCUAGCUCGCUAAGCUAGCCAGCCGCCUAGUGGACAAUGUAGCGAGCUAGCGAGGAGCUGGCAGAGCUAUCUCGUCGUGCUAUCCUUUAGGCGGCUGGCUAGCGUCCACCAAGCAGCUGCGUAGCGUAGCAAGCCGACCUACUGAGUGCCCAUUUAAGCCAAUAGCUUAGCGAGCUAACUCUCCCGGCCUUUCCAAGCUCACUACGCUGUCCACUAGGCGGCUCGCUAUGCUAGCCAGCCACCUACUUAACUUUAGUCAAGCUAGAGAGGGGAUAGCAGGGCUAUCACACUAUGGUGCCCACUAGGAGGCUGGCUAGCGUAGUAAGCAGGGCCAUUAUCGUAGUGAGCUAGCUCACUGUCCACCUGGCUAGCGUAGCGAGGAUGCGCUUCAUUAAAAAAAAAAAAAAAAAAAAAAAUCCCAAAGUUA